CCCUGCCUUUUGUACACACCGCCCGUCGCUCCUACCGAUUGAAUGGUCCGGUGAAAUCUUCGGACCGCGCGCUCCGUGCUGCUUGCAGCGCAGUGCGCGCGGGAAGUUGAUUAAACCUUAUCAUUUAG
rnacentral:rRNA from 1 species